CUUUCAUUUUGAAAAAAAAUUCAGAAGCCCUCUCACACUCUCUCUCGUGCUCCCUGGUCCGAUCAAGGACCACCGCGUCGGCCACCGUGCCUCUGUUGUGGGUGGUGGUCCGAGUCGCGUAAAAAUGGGUUUUUUAACCCCUUUUUGAAACCCUUCAAAGGCCAAGCCCCCAAAACUAAGAGAUGGCUCUCAACCCCUUUUUGGGUUCGAUUUCGACGAUGGAGAAGGGUCCCUCCUGCGUCGCGACCGCGGGGAAUCCGGUAAUCCUCUCCCUCUUCCUUUUUUAUUUGAAAUAGAUUUGAAACAAAAAAUAUGAAAAAGAUCAAAAGGAAAAAAAGAAAAGAGAAGCAAAUCCAAAAUCAACCCCUUUUUUUUAUUUUUGCUUUUGAUUGCUCGAUAUCCGUCUCUGUUAAAAUUACAUUUCUUUUGUCUCUGGCUAUAUAGCCUAAAUUGAUACAUGCUUUUUUCUUUUGUUUGUUGGUUUCUCUGCUGCCCUCUUCGUACUGCUUCCGUUUUUUCUUCUUGCUAUGUUUGUAGGUGUCAGGAGAGUCAAAGCGAUGGGACGGGCCGUCGAGCCUCGAGCGUUGGAGGCACUAACAAUGCACAUGGAAGAGUAAGAGGAGCGGCGCCUAAGCUUUCAGAAACCCUAGGGUUUCUUCCGAGAGUGUUAAAACAUUUUAGGCCAUAAUUUGGUCCUCAUUUUGGGCUUAUGGAUUUGGGUCAAGUUGUAAAUGGACUAGAAUAUUUGGAUUCUUUUUUAUUUUUGUUUUUUUUAUUUGUUUGGUUUGUUUGUUGUUUAGUGGGCUCGGGCAAAUUUGGGCAUUUACAAAAUGAAUUGUUUGCACUCAAACCAAACCCAUAAGGAAAAGCUAAAUGCCAUACAAAACAUAUAGGUCUCUUAUAUAAGGAUUAUAUUUCAACAGCCGUCCAUUUUUAUCACUAGAACUUAUAAGAAAGUUAGCAUCCCUGCACAAUUAAAGAAUUCGUUAUGAAAAAUUUCUAUAUAAAUUAUUUAUAUAUAAAUUCCCCUAUUAAUUAUUUAUAUGUAAAUCCCCUUAAAUAGAAUCAAUGAUUAAUGAUAAUUUAGAAGCAAAAA
rnacentral:lncRNA from 1 species